GGGCGAAUGGUUUAGUGGUAUAAUAUUCCCUUAGCAUAAAAUGAACUUGUUCAUACAGCAUGGGAAUGGUCCAGGGUUCGAGUAAGUUCACCUGAAGCUCA